rnacentral:rRNA from 1 species
GUGCCAGCCGCCGCGGUAAUACGAAGGGGGCUAGCGUUGUUCGGAUUUACUGGGCGUAAAGCGCACGUAGGCGGAUUGUUAAGUCAGGGGCGAAAUCCCGGAGCUCAACUCCGGAACUGCCUUUGAUACUGGCAAUCUUGAGGCUGGAAGAGGUUAGUGGAAUUCCCAGUGUAGAGGUGAAAUUCGUAGAUAUUGGGAAGAACACCAGUGGCGAAGGCGGCUAACUGGUCCAGAUCUGACGCUGAGGUGCGAAAGCGUGGGGAGCAAACAGGAUUAGAAACCCCUGUAGUCC